CACAAGGUUUGGUCCUAGCCUCAGUAUUAUUUUUAACAAAACUUACACAUGCAAGUUUCCGCAUCCCAGUGAGAUUGCCCCUACUCGUCCUUUAAGAAAACAGGGAGCAGGUAUCAGGCACACACUCGUAGCCCAAAACACCUUGCUCAGCCACGCCCCCAAGGGAAUUCAGCAGUGAUUAAUAUUAGCAAAUAAACGAAAGUUUGACCUAGUUACAGUUGCACAGAGUCGGCCAAUCUCGUGCCAGCCGCCGCGGUUAUACGAGCGACUCGAAUUAAUAAAAAAACGGCGUAAAGAGUGCAUAAGAAUAGCCCUUCCCCCAUUAAAACUGAAGUGGUGCCUAACUGUUAUACGUACUCGCACCAAUGAAAAACAAUUACGAAAGUAAUUUUAUAAAAAAUAGACCUCUUAAAACACGAUAGCUAAAGAACAAACUGGGAUUAGAUACCCCACUAUGUUUGGCCCUAAACCUAGGUAUUUACUUACCCAAAUACCCGCCAGAGAACUACAAGCGCCAGCUUGAAACCCAAAGGACUUGGCGGUGCCUUAGACCCCCCUAGAGGAGCCUGUUCUAGAACCGAUAAUCCCCGUUCAACCUCACCAUCUCUUGCUAUUACAGCCUAUAUACCGCCGUCGCCAGCUUGCCCUAUGAAGGACAAACAGCAAGCAAAAAGAAUUGACCUCCAAAACGUCAGGUCGAGGUGUAGCUUAUGAGAUGGGAAGAAAUGAGCUACAUUUUCUACCAAGAUCAACAGAUAAACAAUGAAAUCAAAAUUGAAGUUGGAUUUAGCAGUAAGAGAUAAAUAGUAUAUUAAUCUGAAAAUGGCUCUAAGGCGCGCACACACCGCCCGUCACUCUCCUCAAUUGAACCUUAAAAUAUAUAAUGACUCUUCUAAACAAGAGGAGGCAAGUCGUAACAUGGUAAGUGUACUGGAAAGUGCACUUGGAAU
rnacentral:ncRNA from 1 species